UUGCUUUAGCAGCACAUGUACUAAAACCGGAACGAUACAGAGAAGAUCAGCAUGGCCCCUCUGUGCGGAUGACAUGCAAAUUCAUGAAGCGUUCCAUAAAAAA